rnacentral:lncRNA from 1 species
CAUGUUAUUUGGAGAAGAAAAUGAUGCGCCCUACUGCCUCGAUAGAUUUAAUUUCCUUGUGCUUUACGCCGAGGAUCAGUGUCUACUCCUGGGCAAUAAAGCAAGCGGAAGAGGGUUCACCAACUGCUCGUUGUGGUUUCCGGAAAAACGAUUUGGUCAUCAGAGACCACCGCCAUGCUGCGAGUUCCUAUUCUAUGCUUUAUGUGGGCAAGGCAGUAAGGUCAACUCGACAGAGUGCCCCAAGUAUUAAUCAUUCUUGCAAUCUAGUAGAUGAUGUAUUGACGUUUUACAGCACAACAAAACUUAAGUUGCAAUAAUACUGCCCAUCAACGAUGUGUUAUUGAACAGUAUUGAAAAGAGUAACCGUCGAUCCAUUGAAUUUCUCCUUGCCAGCUGAUUCUCUUAUGCAUAAUUCUAGUGGAUUUGGUUAUGUUUCUCAAUAAAAUGCAACCUGAAGUGCUG